rnacentral:rRNA from 1 species
CCCCUAGAUGUUCUGGGCCGCACGCGCGCUACACUGACCAGUGCAACAAGCAUCCGUCCUUGGCCGACAGGCCCGGGCAAUCUUUGAACGCUGGUCGUGAUGGGGAUAGACUUUUGCAAUUUUUGGUCUUCAACGAGGAAUUCCUAGUAAACGCAAGUCAUCAACUUGCAUUGAUUACGUCCCUGCCCUUUGUACACACCGCCCGUCGCACCUACCGAUUGAAUGGUCCGGUGAAGCCUCCGGAUUGGCGCGCACCCCGGUGCCGCCGAGAAGUUGGCUAAACCUUACCAUUUAGAGGAAGGUGAAGUCGUANCA